CGUAUCACGUUGAAAUACCGGUUCUCGUACGAUCACCGAAGUUAAGCAACUUCGACUCCGGUCAGUACCUACAUAAGUGACUGCUUGGGAAUGCCGUGUGCGGUAA